rnacentral:rRNA from 1 species
GUGGGAUGCAAUCGUCUUAUUAUUAACUCUGAUAAUAUGGAAGUAAUCAACACAAUGAAGAAUGGAGGAUAAUCGGCGGGAGCGACGGCGACAGUCUUUGAUGAUUGCUAUUUUUUGGCUUGUGAUUUUCCUCUUACUAAGUUUGAACAUUGUAAUAGGGAAGCAAAUAAGGUGGCUCAUGAACUUGCUAGGUUAGCGAAAUUUUCUACGACUAGGGACAGUUUUGAGGAGCCCUUGGAUGGAAUUGUAACUUUUCUUAUUGACGAUGUAACUGUUAUUUCUAAUUAA